rnacentral:rRNA from 1 species
ACCAGACUCCUACGGGAGGCAGCAGUGGGGAAUAUUGCACAAUGGGGGGAACCCUGGUGCAGCGACGCCGCGUGGGUGAAGGAGCACCUCGGUGCGUAAAGCCCUAUCGGCAGGGAAGAAACAGACGGUACCUGACUAAGAAGCCCCGGCUAAAUACGUGCCAGCAGCCGCGGUAAUACGUAUGGGGCAAGCGUUAUCCGGAUUUACUGGGUGUAAAGGGAGCGUAGGCGGCAGGGCAAGCCUGAUGUGAAAGCCCGGGGCUCAACCCCGGGACUGCAUUGGGAACUGCCCCGCUCGAGUGCCGGAGGGGCAGGCGGAAUUCCUAGUGUAGCGGUGAAAUGCGUAGAUAUUAGGAGGAACACCAGUGGCGAAGGCGGCCUGCUGGACGGUGUACUGACGCUGAGGCUCGAAAGCGUGGGGAGCAAACAGGAUUAGAUACCCCCGUAGCC